rnacentral:rRNA from 1 species
AGCAGCCGCGGUAAUUCCAGCUCCAAUAGCGUAUAUUAAAGUUGUUGCAGUUAAAAAGCUCGUAGUUGAAUUUCGGGGUUAGUAGGUUGGUCAUGCCUCUGGUAUGUACUGGUCUCACUGAUUCCUCCUUCCUGAUGAGCCGUAAUGCCAUUAAUUUGGUGUUGCGGGGAAUUUGGACUGUUACUUUGAAAAAAUUAGAGUGUUUAAAGCAAGCUAACGCUUGAAUACAUUAGCAUGGAAUAAUGAAAUAGGACGUUCGAUCCUAUUUUGUUGGUUUCUAGGAUUGACGUAAUGAUUAAUAGGGAUAGUUGGGGGCAUUAGUAUUCAAUUGUCGGAGGUGAAAUUCUUGGAUUUAUUGAAGACUAACUACUGCGAAAGCAUUUGCCAAGGAUGUUUUCAUUAAUCAAGAACGAAAGUUAGGGGAUCGAAGACGAUCAGAUACCGUCGUAGUCUUAACCAUAAACUAUGCCGACUAGGGAUCGGAUGAUGUUAAUUUUUUAAUGACUCA